rnacentral:tRNA from 1 species
GCCGGUGUGGCGGAAUUGGUAGACGCGGCAGACUCAAAAUCUGUUUCCGGAAACGGAGUGGGGGUUCGAUUCCCUCCACCGGCA